rnacentral:lncRNA from 9 species
CAGAUGCCACUGACCCAGCCCGUGAAAUGCACAUACAGAGUGGUAUUGGAGAAGCAAAUAGGUACCUGUUUGACAACUCUUACAAUCUUUCCUGUGGCAGAGAUGACUGACAAUGCCAGUCUCUUUUUGCAGCCACCUAGCCAAACAUGCUCUCCCAUCUACUCAGCACCAUGCUGCACAGCCUCAGAUACAAGCUUUCUGUGAAGGUGAUGAUUCUGAAGCACAGACGCUGAGCUCACAUAGUAACCAUGAGUACACACAGGUCACUAUGGCCAGGACAAAAGAGGAUGCCAGAGCAAGAACCCAUCAGCAACUCAAAACAUGGAGAGGAACAAGAAAUCACAUUAAGGGGAAGGGCAAAGUAGAGACAUUCUAUGUCCGUUAACACAAAAGCACCUUCUUCCCUACUGGUGGCUGAAAUGGGAGGUAGGUUUCCCAGCCUGGGUGGCAUGAGGGUUCUGUAUGAUACGGUCUAGGUUUUGGCAAGUAGACUAAUACCAGAAAACUGAGUCUCAUGACCAUGUCUGUGGGCUAGAAUUACUGUAUUUUCCAGUCUCCUAGAAAACAGAGAGGCAACUUGAAGCAGGAAAGUUCCCAAGGCUUUUUAUGUCCCAUUUCUGUUUCUGAGGAA